GUCUAAGCAUUCGGAGUUAUCGGUGUAUUUUUAUUCCGUCAUCGCAAAACAGAAGUUUCGGAUAACUGGGUGACUUCUGAAACGCUAACCGGACUCCAACGGGGGAAUGCAGAUCGCAAAUAAUCGGAUACUAAAGCAGAAUCGAUGCCGGCGAAAGAAUUGUUUAUAUCCAGAUGGUUUAUCGAAGGAAAAAAACAACCUUUUUCAGCACUAAGCGGAUACAAAAAGUGGAAGCCGAUCAACAGGUCUAAAAAUGCAGACGAAACAAAAUUUGGAAACAAAUGGUUUACCGACGGAAAAGCAGAAUAGGAACAGUCUAUACACACAUGGCCACAGAAUAGUAAUGCUGUAAGUUCAAAAUGGAAUAUAAAUAAAAGAAUUUUCUCAUGAAUACAAAUGAAACUGUUAUUUAAAAUAAAAUGGAGGGAAACCCCGUGGGGAAGGGGUGGGUUGGCAGGUUUGGGA